rnacentral:RNase_P_RNA from 1 species
AGAUGGCUGGGCAAUCGCUGCUUCAUUUAUGAAGGGGAGGAAAGUCCGGGCUCCAUAGGGCAGAGUGCCAGAUAACGUCUGGGCGGCGAAAGCCGACGACCAGUGCAGCAGAGAGUAUACCGCCGAUGGCCUUAGGGCACAGGUAAGGGUGAAAGGGUGCGGUAAGAGCGCACCGCACAGCUGGCAACAGUUUGUGGCACGGUAAACUCCACUCGGAGCAAGAUCAAAUAGGGUUCCUUUGGCGCGGCCCGCGUUGGAACCGGGUAGAUUGCUUGAGCCCUGGUGCGAACCAGGGCCUAGACGAAUGAUUGCCGCUUUGUAUUUAGCAAUAAAUGCAAAGUAACAGAACCCGGCUUACCGGCCGUCUUU